GAUGAACGCUGGCGGCGUGCUUAACACAUGCAAGUCGAACGGAAAGGCCCAAGCUUGCUUGGGUACUCGAGUGGCGAACGGGUGAGUAACACGUGGGUGAUCUGCCCUGCACUUCGGGAUAAGCCUGGGAAACUGGGUCUAAUACCGGAUAGGACGAUGGUUUGGAUGCCAUUGUGGAAAGUUUUUUCGGUGUGGGAUGAGCUCGCGGCCUAUCAGCUUGUUGGUGGGGUGAUGGCCUACCAAGGCGUCGACGGGUAGCCGGCCUGAGAGGGUGUACGGCCACAUUGGGACUGAGAUACGGCCCAGACUCCUACGGGGGGCAGCAGUGGGGAAUAUUGCACAAUGGGCGCAAGCCUGAUGCAGCGACGCCGCGUGGGGGAUGACGGCCUUCGGGUUGUAAACUCCUUUCGCUAGGGACGAAGCGUUUUUGUGACGGUACCUGGAGAAGAAGCACCGGCUAACUACGUG
rnacentral:rRNA from 1 species